UACGUAGGUGGCAAGCGUUGUCCGGAUUUAUUGGGUUUAAAGGGUGCGUAGGUGGCGCUGUAAGUCGGGUGUGAAAUUUCGGAGCUUAACUCCGAAACUGCAUUCGAUACUGCGGUGCUUGAGGACUGGAGAGGAGACUGGAAUUCAUGGUGUAGCAGUGAAAUGCGUAGAGAUCAUGAGGAAGACCAGUGGCGAAGGCGGGUCUCUGGACAGUUCCUGACACUGAGGCACGAAGGCCAGGGGAGCAAACGGG
rnacentral:rRNA from 1 species